UCAAAAUCAUGCAUAUUGAAUUCUUUAGAACAGGUAGCGUUAAACGUUAGCGUGGUUUUGCAACUUUCAGCUUUCCCCUUCAACUUCUUCCCUUCCAUUUUUCUCUACUUUCACCGAUCCAUCCACCCUUUGAAUUUGUUGCAAAUCUUGCCAGAAACGGAUUGUUACACACAGAUAUGAGCAGAGAUUUGAGCCGCAGAGCGUUGGAUUUGGUGUCGUUUUCGGCUUCUCUUUCCCUACUUUUCGUCUCCGCCCUUUCUGAUGAUUCCAGUAACAAAAAUAGUAUUGACUCUGGGAAUCAUCGAUCCUCCAGCAGCAACACUGGCUCGAUGGUUGCCAUCAUUCUCCUUGGGAUUUUGGUAGUUGUGUUAUUAUCAUUUUUCCUUUUCAAGUUAUGGCAAAAGAAGAGAAGAGAGGAGCAAUAUGCCCGACUUCUGAAAUUGUUUGAAGAAGAUGAUGAACUUGAGGUUGAACUUGGUCUUCGGGAUUGAAGAACAUCUGAAAUUCUAGAUAAUUGAAGUUUGGUUCAGAAACCAUUAUGUUGGAAUUAUUGCAUUCAAAUGUCUAAACGAUCGUGAGAUGAUAGAGUGAGUUUGCUGUAAGAUUAGAUUUUCCUUUUCUUUUUUUUUUUAAAAAAAAAAGAAAUUGCGGUGGGGGCAUAACCUUGUAAUUCCCAUAUUAUAAUGAAUCAUUUUGUAAGGAGUGCUUGAAGGAUAAAAGUUCAGGUUCUGUAAAAUUGGUGUCAUAUAGCAAGUUUAAUGGUGAAAGGGUUUUGACCAAAGCCUCAAAUAUUAUUCUUUCAUUUAAAGAUGUUUGAAACUUUUAACA